AGCUAACCUAACCUAACCUAAACUGCUCAAGAGCACCUGCUUCGAGAAUGAAUCUACUAGCGGAUCGGAAUCGCGACCCGCUGAGAAGAUCCGGCGAGUAGCUCACUGUCAUUGGUUAGUUUGCACGUCUAUAUAUAUCUUCUCUAUAAUGUAUAUACCAAAUAGAAAUAUAAACAGUAAAAAAAAUUAAUUACUCGUUCGAAAACAGAAAUUUUAUUACUGCUCGAAAAUGACAUAAACCGUAACGUAUCUUAUCAGUACUUUGAAAAACAGCUAUGUAGGUGAAAACUUAAUGACAUUUCUUUUAAAACUGCAUAUUAAUUUCUUGGUUAAACAAGUCAUCUAUCGUUUUUAAGGCCACGGUAGUUUAUGAGAAAUGUAAUCUCGGUUUAGUUCAAAUUGAAAAAAAAUAUCCUUCUAAAUAGUAUUUCUUAGAUUUUACUCCUGAAAAACCAAUUUAACUUAGAACUGACGCUCAUGCUGUAACGCUAGAAAAAUUGAAUUGAAUUUUUUUUAGAAAUUGACGCCAUCUAGCGUAUACGUGGCGCAGUGUGGAGAAAUAAAAUAAUUUUAAAACACUAAGUAGUUCUCUCACUCGACGCUGCAUGACGUGACUGUGCGAUCUUGUCUAUAGUUCGAAGGUGAGAUUGGCACAGCCCUAUUAGGCAGAAUCUUCGAGAACCGUCAGACUAUUGCUAUAAAAGGACAAGUCACUUUGUCCGAGUCCUUUUUCAAUCAACAUCUCUCGAGCUGCAGUGAAAGUUUUGUUACGCAUUUACCUGAGUCAAUUAAACAGUUCCUUGGUGUCUUAUAUUAAACCAGGGUCCUAAUAACUAGUACAUUAUAUGUACAUCAGUUAGGGUGCGGAGAGUGACUUUUAGAUCACCUUCGAGAUCCCGCAGUACCUUUCUGCGUGGACGCUGCCGGAAGCGAGGUACUCUGGCUAGGCGAUCCAAGAAAGAGUACUUGACUACGGUAGACCAAGAACACACCUGCAUACCCAGCCUUGCUCGGAUCCAUCAACCCCAGUUGCUGGGAAGCAAUCCGGUGAACCUUCAUCGUCCGUUUGUUAACUAAACUGGUGAAACCGUCAUUGUUUCUAGUAAUUUAAUUUUAAACUAAUUUCGUUGAUAACUUUCUCGUGUGUUCGGUGUACCUACCGACACACAUGUAAUAUUGUACCUGACCACUAAUUUAAUCUUUGUAAACUAUUAUAACAAUUGUAUCCGUGUUAUUUAAAUAGAAUAAACACUGCUUUGUUAUA